AUACAAUACCCAUACAACAAUACAACAUACGUACAGCAAGACCAAAUACCAGAACUACCCCUGCUUCAUUCUUGGUCUUCUUCGCGAGCCCAGAUAUGCAGAACCCAGAACUCCAAGGAAAAUCGCGAGCAACAGCCCAGCGAUUCCAGCAGCCCAGACGCGAGCCCAUCAGCUCAUUCUCCUGGCAUCGCAGCGUGUCCCUCUCCGUAUGCGAAGCUUCGGGAAUAAUCCAGGUGGAGCAAUCUUGCAUCUCCUUCUUCCUUUGCUGAAAUCGAACGGAUGUCAUUCCAAAUCCGUUGAAAUUGGUACUUUGCCAACCGUUUGAGCCUUAUCUCUUAGAAAGGUUUGAAUUUCGAAUUUGAAAAAUUCAUCCAAAUUUCACCCGAAUUCCCCCCAAAAAUCGUGCCCUAAUUCCUCCUAUUUAACCCGCCCCCUCCCUCUUCUUCUUUGUGGGAGGUUGGAGAAAAAUUUGGAAAAAAAAAAGGUAGGAUAAAAAAUUGGAAAAAAAAAGGUUGGAGAAAAAUAGCUCGAGCCACAAAUUACAUAAAGUUCCAAUAGGAACAAAAAGUAAAACUAAGGGUGCUUUCGCAGAUCGAUUCCAAAAGAAUUUUGAAGCUCUUUUAGUUUUGGUUUCUGUUCUAUUCAGUAUCCUCCGGAGUUCGUUGGAAUCCCAUGUCAAUGGUGAAAGGUUGGUGAGAAGUCCAGCUCAUUCGUCCCGUUCGCUGCCCGAAAGAAGUUAUAAAAAUGGUGGUCUGUUACAGUUGUGUCGGAAAUCGGAAUCAUGCCUUUCCUCUGUUUAUUUCUUUUUUAAGGCUAAAUUCAUGUACCAUUCAAUUGAUUUAAUCAAAUGAAUGUUUCAAAUGAUAUUUACUUCUACAAUUUAUUUAUUUUCUUUUCGUAUAUGAUGAUGCUUUAGUCAUUAAAUUGAUAUAGUUUACUGUUGCUUUCACUACACUUUCUCAGGCAAUAUUAAUCUCUUUUAAGUCAAGAUUGUUUCUUUAUUUAAAUGGCAUUAACUGAUGCAAAGUGUGUUGCAUUUUCUUCAUUGUCUUAGCUCAAAUGUUAGAAUAAUUUUGCUAGUUUUUUAAUGUAGCCUCUUCUCCCAGUCAGAUGGUAUAUGAUCUAAUUCCAUUUCCUUAUUUUGUUUGGGUACAACCCGCUGGCCGAGUCUUUUAGGCUCUUACUGUUCUCCUAGCCUCUCUCAUUUUUAUAUAUUUCGUGUUAAUUUUAUUGUUAGUACAUGCUUAUUUGCUAAUUAAUUUUAAGGUUCUUAA